AGGAAACAGCAGAAUGAAGAUUGCCCAGGUGACAGCAGCAUGACCCUAAAAGAAGUUAAUAAUAAGUUUCCAAAAAGUCUCAGAACUAAUUGCUGAGAGCAUAGGAAAAAACCCACUUGGGACUCAUGGGUUCAAAGCAACAUUCAGGAGAGCAUUGUUUAGAUAAACUAUUUGAUUCCUAAGGGCUUGUUUCCAUCUCAUUUCUUCUUGCACCUCCUCCUCCUCAUGGCUUUCCUCUUAUCCUGAUGUUUCAAAUCUCUGCUCCAGAGAAUGAAAGACUCUAGAGAUCCCUGGUGGACUUAUGAAAAAAUAAACUAUGGAGAAAAACAAUGCAGUUUUCCCUAAUCUUGUUUUUGGAAACAUCUGUGCCAUUUAAUCUGAAACAUUACAAUGAAAAAAUUCAGACUAAGACAGACAUGGAAAAUAUCCUUAUAAACAGCUCAAAUUUGGCAAUGUUAAUUCAAAUGAAAAUAAAGCCUUAUAAAGGGAUCUCUUAGGAAACCUUGAAUUUAAGAGAGGGGCAUUUAACAGCUUUGCAUGUAAUGAAAGUCUACAUAAAACCAGUAUAAUGACUCUGCAUAACAAGCAUCACAGCAACGUGUUAUGCAUUUUUUUGUGGAUUGUAUGGCCUCUCUAAGCUCAAUCUGUAUGCAAGUAAGAAAUAAAAGAUUGUCCAAACUUAGAAGAAAACAACUUAGUAAUGACAAAAUAAAGACAAGUCUGGUGAAAACCUCAGACACCCCAAGCCAACCAUUACUUUAAAAGCAAAGGAAAUAAAGGAGGCAGUUUUUAAUUACUAGCAGUAAUCUGCAUGAGUAAGAAUUUCAGUCUAGAAGAAAAUAAUGCCACAAACUGGCAAGGCACUAGCUGUGUUUGUUGGCUUAGAAGCACUUUCUUUCCAUUACUGAAAACCUACAAGUAGGAUUCUCCAGCAACAAUGUUAUUUCCAUCUUAAAAGAUGAACAUGAAACCUCAAAAUCUAUCAGAUACACUCUAUCAAACAACUAAUAAUCUUCACAGGCAAAUCACUUAGAAAUGCAUUAGGUUUUAAGUGGAAUGCAUUUGCAAGAGAUUCCAGUAACUGUCAGAGCUAAAUGUUUCCUUAACUUUUUGUUUAUGCACAAAAGAAGAUAAAAAUAUUUAGAAGAGAAUGAAGUUAUGAGCCCAGAACAUGUGCCAUGGGAAAUCUAAACCUGAAUGCAGUUGAAGGACUAUCCAAAAGGGACUGACCCAAAGAAUCCCUCCGUCACACAGCAGUUGAAGAGGAAAACCAGACUAUGAACUUAAAGCAACUGAGCUGCUGCUCUGGAGUCUGAGAAAGGUUCACAUGCCAACAACCACUUGCAGAAGAAAAAUAGACUGACUCUCCUGGCCAAAUGAAAAAGUACAUUCCUGAUAUGGCAUCCAGCUGAGAACUUGAGUAGGAAGCAAUACACUCAACAGGCAUCCUGUGUCUUCCUCCAACCCAUCAUCCCACCAAUUUUCUGUUCUCUCAACACUCUCAGAGACUAAGCAUCAGCAGUUCCUUAGAGCUUAGUCCAAGCUAUUUUAUUACCUUAACCAUUUGUUUGUAUCAGUGGUUGCUGAACACAACCCUACAAAGGCACAGAUUAAGAGAGAGGAAAAGGUUUGAAUACAAUAAACUGGCCUGAAUGUCAGCCUAGAAUGCAUGCUGAACUAAUUUUUGAAUUACAGAUUUAUGAAGUGUGUCUGCAUCUUUCUCUCUUGGUGUGUUGUUUGAUUGGUUUUGUUCACCUAGUUCUAUGUGGUUAAUGUCAGGUGCUGGUAUGCCCACCAGAAUUUCCCUGUUCACCUCUCAAGUAACAGCCUUUUCUUCCAAUUCCUCUCUCUUGU